CUUGAAAUACAGACAAAUGUGAUGUUGUAAAUUAAGAAGAAUUGAUUCUAUGUUUCUUGCUUAGUACAGACUCUAAUCCAAAUGAGAGAUCUAUACAGCUGAAAUCUGAACCUUUUUUCCUUUGGCCCUUGUUUCUUUUAUUGUAUUGUCAUUUUUUGUGGGUGGAAGUAGAGGAAUGCUCAAACUUACACUUUUUCUGUACAUUUGGGUUCCUAAACAGUUUUUCCAAAUUAUUGAUAGUCACGUACUUAUUUCUUAUGGUUCUUUCAGUCCCUGCCAGUACUGGGGCAUUGACUUGACUUCCUGAAACAAGGUACAGAAGGCCUUUUGACUUUGUGUAUUUUGCCUUCUUUUUUCUGCUUUUGAAACAGUAGCAACUUUAGAUGAUCUUUA
rnacentral:lncRNA from 1 species